rnacentral:tRNA from 1 species
GCCUGGGUGGCUCAGUCGGUUGGGCGUCCGACUUGGGCUCGGGUCAUGAUCUCGUGGUUUGUGAGUUCGAGCCCCACGUCGGGCU